rnacentral:rRNA from 1 species
AUUGAACGCUGGCGGCAUGCCUUACACAUGCAAGUCGAACGGCAGCACGGGAGCAAUCCUGGUGGCGAGUGGCGAACGGGUGAGUAAUAUAUCGGAACGUGCCCAGUGAUGGGGGAUAGCCCGGCGAAAGCCGGAUUAAUACCGCAUACGACCUACGGGUGAAAGCAGGGGAUCGCAAGACCUUGCGUCAUUGGAGCGGCCGAUAUCAGAUUAGCUUGNGGUGGGGUAAAGCCUACCAAGGCGACGAUCUGUAGCUGGUCUGAGAGGACGACCAGCCACACUGGGACUGAGACACGGCCCAGACUCCUACGGGAGGCAGCAGUGGGGAAUAUUGGACAAUGGGCGCAAGCCUGAUCCAGCCAUGCCGCGUGAGUGACGAAGGUCUUCGGAUUGUAAAGCUC